AUUGAACGCUGGCGGCAGGCCUAACACAUGCAAGUCGAACGGUAGCACAGAGAGCUUGCUCUCGGGUGACGAGUGGCGGACGGGUGAGUAACGUCUGGGAAACUGCCCGAUGGAGGGGGAUAACUACUGGAAACGGUAGCUAAUACCGCAUAACGUCGCAAGACCAAAGUGGGGGACCUUCGGGCCUCACACCAUCGGAUGUGCCCAGAUGGGAUUAGCUAGUAGGUGGGGAAUGGCUCACCUAGGCGACGAUCCCUAGCUGGUCUGAGAGGAAGACCAGCCACACUGGAACUGAGACACGGUCCAGACUCCUACGGGAGGCAGCAGUGGGGAAUAUUGCACAAUGGGCGCAAGCCUGAUGCAGCCAUGCCGCGUGUACGAAGAAGGCCUUCGGGUUGUAAAGUACUUUCAGCGGGGAGGAAGGCGGUGAAGUUAAUAGCUUCACCGAUUGACGUUACCCGCAGAAGAAGCACCGGCUAACUCCGUGCCAGCAGCCGCAGUAA
rnacentral:rRNA from 1 species